UACAGAGGUGGCAAGCGUUGUUCGGAAUUACUGGGCGUAAAGGGCGCGUAGGCGGUCUGGUCAGUCCCUUGUGAAAUCCCCCGGCUCAACUGGGGAACUGCACGGGAAACAGCCGGGCUUGAGUUCGGGAGAGGGAAGCGGAAUUCCGGGUGUAGCGGUGAAAUGCGUAGAUAUCUGGAGGAACACCGGUGGCGAAGGCGACAUCCUGGACCGGCAUUGACGCCUGAGGCGCGAAAGCCAGGGGGAGCAAAACGGGG
rnacentral:rRNA from 1 species